rnacentral:tRNA from 1 species
AAAAAAUUAGUUAAUAUAUAACAUAAACUUGUCAAGUUUAAAUAAUUUAGUUAGUAAAUAUUUUUUA